UACGAGGGGGGCUAGCGUUGCUCGGAAUCACUGGGCGUAAAGCGCACGUAGGCGGAUUGUUAAGUCAGGGGUGAAAUCCUGGAGCUCAACUCCAGAACUGCCUUUGAUACUGGCGAUCUUGAGUUCGGGAGAGGUGAGUGGAACUGCGAGUGUAGAGGUGAAAUUCGUAGAUAUUCGCAAGAACACCAGUGGCGAAGGCGGCUCACUGGCCCGAUACUGACGCUGAGGUGCGAAAGCGUGGGGAGCAAACAGG
rnacentral:rRNA from 1 species